rnacentral:rRNA from 1 species
CAGCAGCCGCGGGAAUACGUAGGGUGCGAGCGUUAAUCGGAAUUACUGGGCGUAAAGCGUGCGCAGGCGGUUGUGUAAGACAGGUGUGAAAUCCCCGGGCUUAACCUGGGAACUGCGCUUGUGACUGCACAGCUAGAGUAUGGCAGAGGGGGGUGGAAUUCCACGUGUAGCAGUGAAAUGCGUAGAGAUGUGGAGGAACACCGAUGGCGAAGGCAGCCCCCUGGGCCAAUACUGACGCUCAUGCACGAAAGCGUGGGGAGCGAACAGGAUUAGAUACCCGGGUAGUCCCUGUCUCUUAUAC